UCUCAAUUGUUUGUUAGAUUUCUGCCAUUCGAAGCGGUAUAUAUACAUAGCUUCGUAGGGUUAUUUAUAUCGUUAGAAAACUAUAAUUUAAAUCGUAAAGAGAAGCGGCACCACAAAGCAACGAGGUUAAGCAGGCUUGAAGAUCAUCAUACUUGUUUUCCACAUUACAAUUCCGUUCGAAUCAUAAAAGGUUUGUAGGAGGUGUUGCUUAGAGGGUGAGACGAUAUUGAUAGAGAUUUGAGAAAUGGUGCGUACGCGACAGCAGACCAAUGGUAAUGUUAAUGCGAAUCCUCCCAGAAACCGAAACGCAAGGAAUGGUACUCCUACUUCACCGGAGCUCGAUGAUUUGUUACGUGCGGUUACUACUGAGUUGGAAAAGACUAAAGCUGAGCUAAGGGAUGUAGCUAAUCAGAGAGAUGCUUUUGCUGCAGCACUCGAAAAGUCAGCUGAGAGGACACCAUCCCCUACUCCCUUAAUGCAUCACCUAUAUUUUUACUACAUGGGUAACCAUCAGUCUAGUUUCUUCACAAGUUCGAAAUUUGACCUACACAUAACUUAGAGACGACUACGAAUAUCGUUAGAAUUUGGACAAAAAAAACUCAUUUGCACCAGUACAUCUAAGUCAAAAAAUGGUUCGCCUUCCGCAAGUAACCCAAAGAGGGAAACCAUCAUCAGGUAUAAUAUCAUAUAUUACGCUAAA